UACGUAGGUGACAAGCGUUUGUCCGGAUUUACUGGGCGUAAAGAGCGCGCAGGCGGUCGUUCAAGUCGAGUGUGAAAGCCCCCGGCUCAACUGGGGAGGGUCAUUCGAUACUGAUCGACUCGAAGGCAGGAGAGGGAAGUGGAAUUCCCGGUGUAGUGGUGAAAUGCGUAGAUAUCGGGAGGAACACCAGUGGCGAAGGCGACUUCCUGGCCUGUUCUUGACGCUGAGGCGCGAAAGCUAGGGGAGCAAACGGG
rnacentral:rRNA from 1 species